CACGUAGGGCGCAAGCGUUGUCCGGAAUUAUUGGGCGUAAAGAGCUCGUAGGCGGUCUGUUACGUCCGCUGUGAAAACCCAGGGCUUAACCCUGGGCUUGCAGUGGAUACGGGCAGACUAGAGGCAGGUAGGGGAGAAUGGAAUUCCCGGUGUAGCGGUGAAAUGCGCAGAUAUCGGGAGGAACACCGGUGGCGAAGGCGGUUCUCUGGGCCUGACCUGACGCUGAGGAGCGAAAGCGUGGGGAGCAAACAGG
rnacentral:rRNA from 1 species